ACUUUAUAAAAUGAAACUUGUAUACUAUACAAGUAUGAAUUGCCUUUUAAAAGCUCCGUCUGAUUAGGUUAGGGUCCUGCGCAAUAAGACUCUGCGAAUCUUGUCAGGUCCGGAAGGAAGCAGCAAUAAGUGGAAGCUCUUAUGUGCCGCAGACAAGCCUUCUCCAAAGUCGGCGGAGCUUUUAAAGGGCAGU
rnacentral:SRP_RNA from 1 species